rnacentral:sRNA from 1 species
CUGUGUUCUUAUAGAAGGCUGAAGUCAAGCCAUUGACCAAAACAAUGAUUUUACUGGAUGCUCACUGCCUCCUUUUGUUGCUUGGAAGAAUUCAGUUCCAUGUGUUUAUGGGGCUGAGCUGUUUUCAUGCUGACUUUGAGGUAAGAGUUGCUCUCAAUUCUUGAAUUGAGUCCCCAUCACUUGACCCUCAGCACACAGUGACUUACUCAUAGUGGCUUACUCCUCCAGGCCAGGAGGGGGUACUAUUCCCCAGGAGAACAGAGCUGCUCUGUGAUGUAAGGUUGCCAUGGCAGUCAUGUUUUCCAAGUACCUGGACCUAACUACACCACAAAGCUAAGUAGAUGUCCUAUCCAUGGUCACUUCUACUUGUAGGAAAGAAGAUCAGAUAGUGCUCAAACCUUCAGGAACUACUUAGUAUUCUGCCACCUAAUGGUAGACCUCACAGUUCUUUGCUACUAGCUGGUGGUAAAAGAACCCAUGCAAAAAAUGUAGCAAAGUGAGAAGGUAUGUACUUCAUAAAUUUCAUGUGGCCAUAUUUAGAGUCUCAUAGGAAAUGUAUCUCUACAAUGUGUUACUAAUGGAGAAACAAACAAUGUAUUAAGAAGUUGGACUCAGAGCAAUGAAGGGUAAGAAACAAAGCACUUUGAACUACAGACUCUGACUAACACACACAGGCAGUGAGCCAGGAAGGGACCGCGACAUCUUACUGCUGUUGAAAACUUUAAACUCUGCCAGCCUUAAACAAAAGCCAAAGCUCUACAAUGUAUCUGCCACUGUCAAUCAAUAAGGACUGAUUGGUUGACUCAAAAUGGCCCUCCAAAAAUGUUCAUGUCUCGAUCCACAGAAUCUGUACCUUAUGCCACAUGGUGAGAGGGCCUUGAGGAAUGUGAUUAAAGAUCUCAAGAGAGGCUAAUCCAGCUGAAGGGAAGAAAGGACGAUGAUGAUGGGCAAAGAGUGAAGAUUCCUUUUAACACCUAGAGGGCUAAAGUGGAAGACUGUUCUUGGGAGUCGUCACCAAUAUCCUGUGGGAUUCAAGACUGGCAGGCAGUGAUGGAUGGUGCUCUCUCUACACAUUCAAUAGAGAAAUGUUUGAGUAAAUCAUGUGCUUCAUUCAUAUGCCAUUCAACAGCAGUUUAGUGUCUUGAAAACACUCCAUGAUACUUUGAAAUCUCUAUGAGGUAAUGUUGAAUAAAAAUCAAAUAAUUUAAGAAUAAAUAUAAUUUUAAGAAGUAAAUCAGACAAAGCGUGUUAUAAUGUUAACACUGGUUGUUUGU